GACGGAGGAUGCAAGCGUUAUCCGGAAUUAUUGGGCGUAAAGCGUCCGCAGGUGGCUGUUCAAGUCUGCUGUCAAAGCGCAGAGCUUAACUCUGUACAGGCGGUGGAAACUGAAGAGCUAGAGUAUGGUAGGGGUAGAGGGAAUUCCCGGUGUAGUGGUGAAAUGCGUAGAUAUCGGGAGGAACACCAGUGGCGAAGGCGACUACCUGGCCCAUUCUUGACGCUGAGGCGCGAAAGCUAGGGGAGCGAACGGG
rnacentral:rRNA from 1 species